rnacentral:rRNA from 1 species
GUUGAACGCUGGCGGCGUGCCUAAUACAUGCAAGUCGAGCGAACAGAUAAGGAGCUUGCUCCUUUGACGUUAGCGGCGGACGGGUGAGUAACACGUGGGUAACCUACCUAUAAGACUGGGAUAACUUCGGGAAACCGGAGCUAAUACCGGAUAACAUUUUGAACCGCAUGGUUCUAAAGUGAAAGAUGGUUUUGCUAUCACUUAUAGAUGGAUCCGCGCCGUAUUAGCUAGUUGGUAAGGUAACGGCUUACCAAGGCAACGAUACGUAGCCGACCUGAGAGGGUGAUCGGCCACACUGGAACUGAGACACGGUCCAGACUCCUACGGGAGGCAGCAGUAGGGAAUCUUCCGCAAUGGGCGAAAGCCUGACGGAGCAACGCCGCGUGAGUGAUGAAGGGUUUCGGCUCGUAAAACUCUGUUAUUAGGGAAGAACAAACGUGUAAGUAACUGUGCACGUCUUGACGGUACCUAAUCAGAAAGCCACGGCUAACUACGUG